rnacentral:rRNA from 1 species
UACGUAGGGGGCAAGCGUUAUCCGGAUUUACUGGGUGUAAAGGGAGCGUAGACGGCACUGCAAGUCUGGAGUGAAAGCCCGAGGCCCAACCACGGGACUGCUCUGGAAACUGCGGGGCUGGAGUGCAGGAGGGGUAAGCGGAAUUCCUAGUGUAGCGGUGAAAUGCGUAGAUAUUAGGAGGAACACCGGUGGCGAAGGCGGCUUACUGGACUGUAACUGACGUUGAGGCUCGAAGGCGUGGGGAGCAA